UGAUGAGAAUUGUGGAAAAAAGUGUGAAGAAAUUUUGGAGAAUUGAGAGGUUUUUGGAGGGAAAAGUAGUUAGAUCUUGAAAUGUGAAAAGUGAUUAUCAUUUUCUGUUACAAUUAAUGUUAUAUACCAUGCCUUAAUCCAUUUCUUAAUCCAAAUUAGCAAAAUUGAAAUGAUUAGUACAAAUGCAAUUUCAAGUGUAAUGGCAAAAUGGUCCUUUUCCAAAUUAGGCCAAUGUAACAGUAAAUGACAGCUCAAGCAAGUUCUAAUUAU
rnacentral:lncRNA from 1 species